rnacentral:misc_RNA from 1 species
UCUCCGAUUGCUACUCCUGGUUGAAAACCCGGGACUAAAGGGGGUUCCCAACCGGGAGUAAAAAGGGUUU